CCCAGACUCCUACGGGAGGCAGCAGUGGGGAAUAUUGCACAAUGGGCGAAAGCCUGAUGCAGCAACGCCGCGUGAGUGAUGAAGGCCUUCGGGUCGUAAAACUCUGUCCUCAAGGAAGAUAAUGACGGUACUUGAGGAGGAAGCCCCGGCUAACUACGUGCCAGCAGCCGCGGUAAUACGUAGGGGGCUAGCGUUAUCCGGAUUUAUUGGGUGUAAAGGGUGCGUAGACGGGAAGGCAAGUUAGUUGUGAAAUCCCUCGGCUUAACUGAGGAACUGCAACUAAAACUAUCUUUCUUGAGUGCUGGAGAGGAAAGUGGAAUUCCUAGUGUAGCGGUGAAAUGCGUAGAUAUUAGGAGGAACACCAGUGGCGAAGGCGACUUUCUGGACAGUAACUGACGUUGAGGCACGAAAGUGUGGGGAGCAAACAGGAUUAGAUACCCGAGUA
rnacentral:rRNA from 1 species